rnacentral:rRNA from 1 species
GUGUCUACAAGUAGUCAAAGCACAUUAAAGUGCAAUGGCGUGCCUUUUGUAGAAUGAACCGGCGAGUUACGUUAUCUAGCGAGGUUAAGUCAGAUAAGACGGAGCCGGAGCGAAAGCGAGUCUUAAUAGGGCGAAAAGUUAGGUGACGUAGACCCGAAACCAAGUGACCUACCCAUGACCAGGCUGAAGGUGUGGUAAAACUCACUGGAGGGCCGAACCCACGUAAGUUAAAAAUUGCGGGGAUGAGUUGUGGGUAGCGGUGAAAUUCCAAAC